rnacentral:rRNA from 1 species
CCUACGGGUGGCAGCAGUGGGGAAUAUUGCACAAUGGGGGAAACCCUGAUGCAGCGACGCCGCGUGAGUGAAGAAGUAAUUCGUUAUGUAAAGCUCUAUCAGCAGGGACGAAAAUGACGGUACCUGAGUAAGAAGCCCCGGCUAUCUACGUGCCAGCAGCCGCGGUACUACGAAGGGGGCAAGCGUUGUCCGGAUUUACUGGGGGUAAAGGGGGCGUAGACGGCAGUGCAAGACUGGAGUGAAAGGCGGGGGCUCAACCCCCGGACUGCUUUGGAAAGUGUAAGGCUGGAGUGCAGGAGAGGUAAGUGGAAUUCCUAGUGUAGCGGUGAAAUGCGUAGAUAUUAGGAGGAACACCAGUGGCGAAGGCGGCUUACUGGACUGUAACUGACGUUGAGGCUCGAAAGCGUGGGGAGCAAACAGGAUUAGAUACCUGUGUAGUC